UUUGGGGGUAUAUAACCACUCUGUGCACCCCACUUCUUCGGUGCCCUUUCUUCCUUUGGGAAGAAAGGCCCCGGGCUAUGGUCCUCAGAUUUCAGCUCAGAAUAAACUCACCCAAAUUUUCAUUUACAGAUUGGUUAUGGAUUAUUUUCGUCAACAGUUCUUGGCGUAGUCGCGGCAGGAUUUCAGAGAAACCCACCGGAGGCCACCUGGAAUCUACACUGAACUGGCAUUCAGUACCAAUAAGGGCCCAUUGAGCCCCCCGGAUCACUGCAUUCUUCAGGUGACCCUGUCACAAGAUUGCCCUGUCAGCACAGCACUUGAUGGACACAGCAGAGACAUCAAAUAAGACUCUAUACAGCCCAGUUGGAAAGGACCAUACCAGGAGGAGAAGAAGACGACAUCUGUUGCAGACAGCUGUCCCAAGACUCCGGACCAGGCCUGUAUUCCCAACCUUGCUCCGGCUGUGCAGACAUGGGAAGCCCACGACGACCCUCAGCAGUCUGGCCCAGGCCACCUUGAGCAACCCCACCUCCAGAGCCCCCGCCACGACCUACCCCAUGGGCGAAUUCUCUACUGUUGCUGCUGGGAGCAUAGGAUGCUGAGCUGGAAUACCAGGGAAAUUACUGAGGCAAUUAAAAUUGGAAAUUGGGGUUUAUUGAGAGAAUUCUCUUCCAGAUUAAACGGCACUGACUUUGUUAACAUUGGCGGCAACAUUCGCCAAGACCUCCCCCCUUCUAAAAUUCCUUUCAUCCAGAGUCUCGAUAGUGGAAGGAAAGAGCAGUCCAACAGACCAUCUAAGAAAAUCUGCUGUGGGUCAGAUAAAAGUGCGAAGCUCCCUGACGCCGAGUGGAGAGACGAGGGAAGAGAGAGACAGGGCUGUGGGGGAGCUGCGCACACCCAGCUGCAUGGUCCUGAGCAGGAAUGCACAAUUGCUGCCUGUUCAGAAACGCAAUUCACUGUGACAAAGCUGUCAGGCAACCAUUCUGAGGCCUUUAGAACGAUUGGACUUCCAUAAAGCUCUGCCACAUGUACACUCCCCACAAUCGAUCCCACUUAUCCAGAGCGGCUGUCCUGAUGGCCAUUUGACCGGCCUGAACUCCUAGAGAAGGCGCCUGGCAGUAACACUCUAGAUUUAGGUUUGCACUUUGUCAGUGUUGACUGUGUUGAUUUAUUAAACAAAAUUUUUAAAAGACUAAAACUGUGGAUUUUUCUAAAGUGGAGAUUUGGCAGUUAGCUAUUGAAUUCACGUGAACAACCAAACUGGAUAAUUCUCCUAAAUUUUAUCCCCUCCAGGGCACAAAAUUUGAGUCAAAUAAUCAAGGAGUCUAUAUCGGGCAUCUGCUGGGGGUCAAGGGUGAAUUUGAUUAUUUACACUGACUUCAACAUAUGAGAAUAACCGCGAAGCUGGGGUGCAGGCGAGAGGAGUUGUUGCUAUCAGGAUUACGAUGACAUUGUAGCGGAUGCUGUUGGUUCUUAUCUGUUACCCCCUCUUCUCCCUCACAGAAGUCCCUCCCCAGCUUUAGGGAUGAUCUUUUUUAGCGCUCCAGUAUGGUAAUUCCAACUCCCUUGCCAGGAAUGGGUUUGGGAUCUCAGCCCACCAGUGCGUGGCCUUGAUCUGGGUCUGAUAUCGAUUGCGAGCUGGCACACGAUCCCAUCGUCCUGAUGGGAAAGACUUUUGUUCCAUGGUGGGGGGUGGGGUGGGAGGUGCCUCUCUCCAGCUGAAUGUGACCAAGUCAGCCUGUGGUCCCAGUUGCUGAGGAGGGAAGCCCGCCUGAGGACAAGACCAGCAGGUGAAGCAGAACUAGGAAUUCAAGGGAAACUGAGCCAGGGCCCUGCCUGGACCAUACCCGGACCAUACCUGGACC
rnacentral:lncRNA from 1 species